UUUGGAAGUUUCCGGAUUUGCCCAGAUGGUUGUCGUACAGCUUGGCUUUGAAGGUCAUGUCACUGGCCUUGGGGAACAUGCACUCCUCUUCAAGGAUGGACAUGAUACCCAUGGGCUGAUUUGAAAAGAAACGUCCAGAAUGACCCUCAGGAUGUAUACAAAAUUUAAAGACACAAAGACACUCACAUCAAAGAUUUCAAAGCCAGCAAUGUCCAGCACACCAAUGAAGUACUGGCGGGCCUGCUUGGUGUCCAGGGAUUGGUUGAUUCUCACCACCAUCCAGUUGAACAUUUUCUCAUACACUGACUUGGCCAGUGCACCAAUGGAGUAGUUCACCUGCGAGGAAAGAGACAAGGAGGCAUGAAGCCCCUGGAAACCAUGUGUGAUGUUCUUUUGGUAAAGCUCUGUAGUUGAGUCUGAGAGCGCCACCAAGUGGAUCUGAGAGGAAGGGAAGAGAAACGGCAGAAGGGACACUAAACCACAGCAGACAAGAGUUUUUCAGAAAGGUCCGUCUGAGAGCUUUACUCUUCAUCCAGCCCUUUCUGGAAGGGGAAGAGAGAGAGACAGAAAAAGAGAAAGAGGGAAAACUGACUCAGCUCCAGCAUAGUUGGCAAAGAGGGUGGCGAGAACUUUGAGGGAAGACUUCUGGUAGAGCCCGACCACAGUCUCAUUCAGAGGGUCCUUGUUCUUCACCAGCCAGUUCGUGAUGUUGUAAUCUACGAUG